rfam:Hordeum vulgare subsp. vulgare, WGS project CAJW01000000 data, contig: morex_contig_2554049
GUGGUACUCCCUCCAUCCGAAAUUACUUGUCGUCAAAAUGAAAAGAAAUGGAUGUAUCUAGAACUGAAAUACAUCUAGAUACAUUCAUUUAUAUGACAAAUAAUUUCGGACGGAGGGAGUAUUAG